rnacentral:tRNA from 1 species
UUGGCUCAGUGGUAGAGCAUGUACCUAACAGGCACAAGGCUCUGGGUUCAAUUCUCAGA